CCUACGGGUGGCUGCAGUGAGGAAUAUUGGUCAAUGGACGAGAGUCUGAACCAGCCAAGUAGCGUGAAGGAUGACUGCCCUAUGGGUUGUAAACUUCUUUUAUCUGAGAAUAAAAUGUUCCACGUGUGGGUUUUUGUAUGUACCAUAUGAAUAAGGAUCGGCUAACUCCGUGCCAGCAGCCGCGGUAAUACGGAGGAUUCGAGCGUUAUCCGGAUUUAUUGGGUUUAAAGGGAGCGUAGGUGGAUUGUUAAGUCAGUUGUGAAAGUUUGCGGCUCAACCGUAGAAUUGCCGUUGAAACUGGCAGUCUAGAGUACAGUAGAGGUGGGCGGAAUGCGUGGUGUAGCGGUGAAAUGCUUAGAGAUCACGAAGAACUCCGAUUGCGAAGGCAGUUCACUGGACUGCAACUGACACUGAGGCUCGAAAGUGUGGGGAGCAAACAGGAUUAGAUACCCCAGUAGUC
rnacentral:rRNA from 1 species